rnacentral:rRNA from 1 species
AUACAGAGGGUGCGAGCGUUAAUCGGAAUUACUGGGCGUAAAGCGCGCGUAGGCGGCUUAUUAAGUCAGAUGUGAAAUCCCCGGGCUCAACCUGGGAACUGCAUCUGAUACUGGUAAGCUAGAGUUUUGGAGAGGGAAGUAGAAUUUCAGGUGUAGCGGUGAAAUGCAUAGAGAUCUGAAGGAAUACCAGUGGCGAAGGCGACUUCCUGGCCAAAAACUGACGCUGAGGUGCGAAAGCGUGGGUAGCAAACGGGAUUAGAUACCCAGUAGUCC